AUCUAGCUGACGAGUCCCAAACGGGACGAAAC
rnacentral:hammerhead_ribozyme from 1 species